UCCUUACGAUAGGCGUCAGUGGGUCUGGUACCUUGUGCAGUUGGUGGGACUAAAAUCAGUGAGUGGGCUCGAGGAACGAGGUUGUACAACAAGUUGGUGAGUCGAGCUAACGGUUCAGCGAGGUAUGGUGGAAGAAUUAGAGCGAUUUUGUGGUAUCAGGGAGAGAGUGAUACGGUGUGGAGAAAGGAUGCUGAGGCUUACAAGGGGAAUAUGGAAAGGCUUAUUGGAAGCUUGCGUUCUGAUCUUAACAUUGCAUAUGUUCCUGUAAUUCAGGUAGCGUUGGCUUCAGGAGAAGGUAGAUUCAUAGAGUUGGUGAGAAGAGCUCAGCUAGCAAUCAAGCUGCCUAAUGUGAAAUGCAUAGAUGCCAAGGGAUUGCCUCUCAAAACAGAUCACCUGCAUCUUACUACCGCGUCUGAGGUUCAUCUUGGUCUCAAGUUGGCUCAUGCCUUUAUUACUUCUUUCGGCUAUAUGCUCUCCAAUUAAAUGGUAAUGAUAUACCAGGUUUCUGGGGUGG
rnacentral:misc_RNA from 1 species